GGUUGAUGAUUUGUCAGAGGAAUUUUGUUGCAAAUUCCUGUAGGCCUGAAAAUGCACACUAUCAUAACAGAGUAAUGUGCAAGUACACAAUGUCAUAGUAGAAAAAUAGAAUUUUGACUGAUUAUUUAACAUCACACGAGCAGCUUCCCUUGCGCCGUCAUCCAUCCACCAACAAGCCCAUGACCCUGCAUCAGAGAAUGAAAAGCAUCUUUUACGCUGCCAAUGGGAUCUGGACCAAGAAGAGGAUCAGGAGGACGAAUACAGUGGACACUACUACUCAGCAAGAUACAGUUCAAACCCUGUAUCCUCUUGACUGAUCUCCCUUCGCCCCUGUUUAAGAAUCAUGUUUCACCCAUUCAGUGUUGUCUUCCGAAUUAUAGACACCUCAUUCUAUAAGGAGGCCGCCACCAAGAAGAGCGAGGUUGUGUGGAUGGACUCAGCGGCAAGUUGUAGCAAGAAAUAAGGCUUAUGUUAGGCAAAGUUGAUUAGGUUGUACUACAGACUGAGUGCCUCCAUAAGAAUCUAGAUAAAAUGCCAUAAAAGGUGGGAGAGGCUUUGCACACUGCAUGAUCGAGCAAUAAAAUGUCGGUGUUUACGAG